rnacentral:rRNA from 1 species
ACUCCUACGGGAGGCAGCAGUGGGGAAUAUUGGACAAUGGGGGCAACCCUGAUCCAGCCAUGCCGCGUGAGUGAUGAAGGCCUUAGGGUUGUAAAGCUCUUUCAGCGAGGAGGAUAAUGACGUUACUCGCAGAAGAAGCCCCGGCUAACUUCGUGCCAGCAGCCGCGGUAAUACGAAGGGGCUAGCGUUGUUCGGAAUCACUGGGCGUAAAGCGCACGUAGGCGGAUUGAUAAGUUAGGGGUGAAAUCCCGGGGCUCAACCUCGGAACUGCCUUUGAUACUGUCAGUCUUGAGUCCGAGAGAGGUGAGUGGAAACUCCGAGUGUAGAGGUGAAAUUCGUAGAGUAUUCGAAGAACACCAGUGGCGAAGGCGGCAUCACUGGCUCGGUACUGACGCUGAGGUGCGAAAGCCUGGGGAGCAAACAGGAUUAGAUACCCUGGUAGGAUAGCG